rnacentral:misc_RNA from 1 species
CAGAAAGUAGGAAGCCAUGAAGACAAUCAGUAAGAACAACGGUAGCAGACAAGUGACUCAAGAAUAAUCUCUGAGCUUCCCCAAAACUUCUCACAAAAGCCAACCGCCAUAUCCAAAAUGUAAUGAAAGGUAUGAUGAGGAGCCAAACAGAGAGCACAAAACUUAAACGUAAAAAGAAUUGCAGGACAUGGCAAGCUUUCAUUGCUAUUCCAAAAAUAAAUUCCUGAAAAGGUAGCCUUGAUGGAGCAUUCUCGGCAUAAACAGGGGAGAAGGAAAAUGCAUGUUUGCAAACCUCGCACUGACGGGCGUUGCUGUGAUUCAGCCAUUGAAGGAGACAAUCCUGGUGAACAAACUUGAUGCUGCCGCUGCAAGCGCAGGGAUAACUUAGCGGGUUAUCCGCAUCUCUAGGGUUCCUACAGAUCCGGCAGACGUCCUCUUCCUCUUCAUCGUCAUCAUACUUAGGUCCAGGAAAAGACGUAGACAAGUUCGCCUUGUUCCCUGGUACAGAAUCCGG